UACGUAGGGUCCAAGCGUUAAUCGGAAUUACUGGGCGUAAAGCGCGCGUAGGCGGCUUUGCAAGUCGGGUGUGAAAUCCCCAGGCUUAACCUGGGAACUGCAUUCGAGACUGCAUUGCUAGAGUAUGGGAGAGGGAAGUGGAAUUUCAGGUGUAGCGGUGAAAUGCGUAGAUAUCUGAAGGAACAUCAGUGGCGAAAGCGACUUCCUGGACCAAUACUGACGCUCAUGUGCGAAAGCGUGGGGAGCAAACAGG
rnacentral:rRNA from 1 species